GAUGAACGCUGGCGGCGUGCCUCAAACAUGCAAGUCGAGCGAGGCUAUGAAUUACCGCAAGGUAAGGCAUAGCCUAGCGGCGAACGGGUGAGUAACACGUGGGUAACCUACCUGGAAGACAGGGAUAACGAUUCGAAAGGGUCGCUAAUACCUGAUAAUAUCCGUCUGCCGGAUGGCGGAGGGAAGAAAGGGGAAACCCGCUUUCAGAUGGGCCCGCGUCCCAUCAGCUAGUUGGUAAGGUAAAGGCUUACCAAGGCGACGACGGGUAGCCGGUCUGAGAGGGUGACCGGCCCGAGGGGCACUGAGAUACGGGUCCCACUCCUACGGGAGGCAGCAGGCUAGAAAUUUGGGCAAUGGGGAAACCCUGACCCAGUGACGCCGCGUGCAGGAAGGAGCCCUUCGGGGUGUAAACUGCUGUCGUGUAGGGAGAAGGGUACUAAGGUGAACAAUCUUAGUACUUGACGGUACUACAGGAGGAAGCCCAGGCUAACCUCGUG
rnacentral:rRNA from 1 species